ACUUCUGACUGUUUCUCUGUAUGUGGUCUUGAGGAAUUGAACUCAGGGCCUCAUGCAUGCAAGGCAAGCACUCUACCACUGAGCCACCUUCCCAGGCC